rnacentral:miRNA from 1 species
UGGCGACCUGAACAGAGAUGUCCCAGUGUUCAGUCUCCAGU